rnacentral:rRNA from 1 species
AUUGAACGCUGGGCAUGCUUUACACAUGCAAGUCGAACGGCAGCGCGGGCUUCGGCCUGGCGGCGAGUGGCGAACGGGUGAGUAAUACAUCGGAACGUGCCCAGUAGUGGGGGAUAGCUCGGCGAAAGCCGGAUUAAUACCGCAUACGACCUGAGGGUGAAAGCGGGGGAUCUUCGGACCUCGCGCUAUUGGAGCGGCCGAUGGCAGAUUAGCUAGUUGGUGGGGUAAAGGCCUACCAAGGCGACGAUCUGUAGCUGGUCUGAGAGGACGACCAGCCACACUGGGACUGAGACACGGCCCAGACUCCUACGGGAGGCAGCAGUGGGGAAUUUUGGACAAUGGGCGAAAGCCUGAUCCAGCAAUGCCGCGUGUGUGAUGAAGGCCUUCGGGUUGUAAAGCACUUUUGGCGGGAACGAAAAGGACUGUGCCAAUACCACGGUUCGAUGACGGUACCCGCAGAAUAAGCACCGGCUAACUACGUG